rnacentral:rRNA from 1 species
CAGGCCUAACACAUGCAAGUCGAACGGUAGCACAGAUCGCUUGCUCUUGGGUGACGAGUGGCGGACGGGUGAGUAAUGUCUGGGAAACUGCCCGAUGGAGGGGGAUAACUACUGGAAACGGUAGCUAAUACCGCAUAACGUCUUCGGACCAAAGUGGGGGACCUUCGGGCCUCACACCAUCGGAUGUGCCCAGAUGGGAUUAGCUAGUAGGUGGGGUAAUGGCUCACCUAGGCGACGAUCCCUAGCUGGUCUGAGAGGAUGACCAGCCACACUGGAACUGAGACACGGUCCAGACUCCUACGGGAGGCAGCAGUGGGGAAUAUUGCACAAUGGGCGCAAGCCUGAUGCAGCCAUGCCGCGUGUAUGAAGAAGGCCUUCGGGUUGUAAAGUACUUUCAGCGGGGAGGAAGGCGAUGAGGUUAAUAACCUUAUCGAUUGACGUUACCCGCAGAAGAAGCACCGGCUAACUCCGUGCCAGCAGCCGCGGUAA